rnacentral:miRNA from 1 species
GUGUAUGCUGGGGGUGGCACUGCAUCACUCAAAGCUGACUCAGGGCCACCUCCUCACAG